rnacentral:rRNA from 1 species
GACGAACGCUGGCGGCGUGCCUAAUACAUGCAAGUCGAGCGAAGUUUUUCUGGUGCUUGCACUAGAAAAACUUAGCGGCGAACGGGUGAGUAACACGUAAAGAACCUGCCUCAUAGACUGGGACAACUAUUGGAAACGAUAGCUAAUACCGGAUAACAGCAUUAACUGCAUGGUUGAUGUUUGAAAGUUGGUUAUGCUAACACUAUGAGAUGGCUUUGCGGUGCAUUAGCUAGUUGGUGGGGUAAAGGCCCACCAAGGCGACGAUGCAUAGCCGACCUGAGAGGGUGAUCGGCCACACUGGGACUGAGACACGGCCCAGACUCCUACGGGAGGCAGCAGUAGGGAAUCUUCCGCAAUGGGCGAAAGCCUGACGGAGCAACACCGCGUGAGUGAAGAAGGAUUUCGGUUCGUAAAGCUCUGUUGUUAGGGAAGAAAGGAUAUGUAGUAACUAUACACGUACG